GGGUUGUGAGGUUAAGCGACUAAGCGUACACGGUGGAUGCCCAGGCAGUCAGAGGCGAUGAAGGGCGUGCUAAUCUGCGAUAAGCGUCGGUAAGGUGAUAUGAACCGCAACAACCGACGAUACCCGAAUGGGGAAACCCAGUGCAAUCCGUUGCACUAUCAUGUCAUGAAUACAUAGUGGCAUGAGGCGAACCGGGGGAACUGAAACAUCUAAGUACCCCGAGGAAAAGAAAUCAACCGAGAUUCCCCCAGUAGCGGCGAGCGAACGGGGAACAGCCCAGAACCUGAAUCAGUUUGUGCCUUAGUGGAAGCGUCUGGAAAGUCGCGCAGUAAAGGGUGACAGCCCCGUACACAAAAAGGCACUUGCUGUGAGUUCGAUGAGUAGGGCGGGACACGUGACAUCCUGUCUGAAUAUGGGGGGACCAUCCUCCAAGGCUAAAUACUCCUGACUGACCGAUAGUGAACCAGUACCGUGAGGGAAAGGCGAAAAGAACCCCGGCGAGGGGAGUGAAACAGAACCUGAAACCGUGUACGUACAAGCAGUGGGAGCACCUUCGUGGUGUGACUGCGUACCUUUUGUAUAAUGGGUCAGCGACUUAUAUUCUGUAGCAAGGUUAACCGUAUAGGGGAGCCGCAGGGAAACCGAGUCUUAACUGGGCGUUAAGUUGCAGGGUAUAGACCCGAAACCCGGUGAUCUAGCCAUGGGCAGGUUGAAGGUUGGGUAACACUAACUGGAGGACCGAACCGACUAAUGUUGAAAAAUUAGCGGAUGACCUGUGGCUGGGGGUGAAAGGCCAAUCAAACCGGGAGAUAGCUGGUUCUCCCCGAAAGCUAUUUAGGUAGCGCCUCGUGAAUUCAUCUCCGGGGGUAGAGCACUGUUUCGGCUAGGGGGCCAUCCCGGCUUACCAACCCGAUGCAAACUGCGAAUACCGGAGAAUGUUAUCACGGGAGACACACGGCGGGUGCUAACGUCCGUCGUGAAGAGGGAAACAACCCAGACCGCCAGCUAAGGUCCCAAAGUCAUGGUUAAGUGGGAAACGAUGUGGGAAGGCACAGACAGCCAGGAUGUUGGCUUAGAAGCAGCCAUCAUUUAAAGAAAGCGUAAUAGCUCACUGGUCGAGUCGGCCUGCGCGGAAGAUGUAACGGGGCUAAACCAUGCACCGAAGCUGCGGCAGCGG
rnacentral:rRNA from 1 species